ACAUCCUGAUAGCACAAAUGUAUGUUAGAUUCGUCUUUUGAAUAUGUUGAUAUGAUUUUGAUGAUAUAGUUGAAAUUAGCGUCUUACAAAUAGAAUUCCAUAUUUUGUACACACAAAAAGGACUUACGAUCUUUUUUAAUUUCACUGUUUUUGGGAGACGUGGUAUGAAUGGGUUGAUAUGAUACUUCAAAUUCAAGUGUUAAAUGUUGCUUUCAGUAAAUACAUGUUGUCAUUGAUACGGUUGGGUUUGUUAAGUAAUUUUGUACAAACGAAAAAGGAACACAAAAAAAUAUUGAAUAUCUUUAUUUAUAUUUUAUUGUGUAUUGAUUUAUGUUUGUAGGUGUAAUUGUGUAUUUGUUCAUUUGUUUUUAAUAGGCAGUUAUUAUUUUCUAUAAUAUAUUAUUGUGUGCAUUAUCGGGAAACAUUUUCUUUUUUCAGUAUCAACAGAAUAUGUACCGUGUACCGGAACCUCGAACAAAAUACACACCACCUCCUAGACAGUGCCCGGGGUAGCCAGUAAAGAACAGAUUUUUUUUUAUUUUACGCACAUUUAUAUAAUAACAAUAGUUUUAUCUUUCGAUGGAUUUAUAUUAUUGCUGAAGAUUCUGUUUCGAAUUGUAAUAAAAAG
rnacentral:lncRNA from 1 species